GAGUUUGAUCGUGGCUCAGAUUGAACGCUGGCGGCAGGCUUAACACAUGCAAGUCGAGCGGAGAUGAGGUGCUUGCACCUUAUCUCAGCGGCGGACGGGUGAGUAAUGCUUAGGAAUCUGCCUAUUAGUGGGGGACAACAUUCCGAAAGGAAUGCUAAUACCGCAUACGUCCUACGGGAGAAAGCAGGGGAUCUUCGGACCUUGCGCUAAUAGAUGAGCCUAAGUCGGAUUAGCUAGUUGGUGGGUAAAGGCCUACCAAGGCGACGAUCUGUAGCGGGUCUGAGAGGAUGAUCCGCCACACUGGGACUGAGACACGGCCCAGACUCCUACGGGAGGCAGCAGUGGGGAAUAUUGGACAAUGGGGGGAACCCUGAUCCAGCCAUGCCGCGUGUGUGAAGAAGGCCUUAUGGUUGUAAAGCACUUUAAGCGAGGAGGAGGCUACUGAGACUAAUACUCUUGGAUAGUGGACGUUACUCGCAGAAUAAGCACCGGCUAACUCUGUG
rnacentral:rRNA from 1 species